AAAUUAAUAAUUUAUCCUAAAUUUUAUAAAUGUUAUAAUUUUAACCAUACUAAACAUAAAUUUUAGCAAUUUCGCCCCAGCUGAACCUAUGUUCUGGCUUCGCCAUGGUUAGGAGAUUAUGGCAAUUAUUUAUGUCAAUUUCAGGAGCAACUCUGAGUCAUUUUCCUUCUAUAUAUACUGAAGUUCUUGUUUUGGAAAAGAAAACACAAAAAAAACAUAAUCUGAAUUUUCAUUUUGAGUGAGAGAAAGACAGACGUGAGUUCAAGUUCAUCAAGACUUACUUGGGUGGUGUUCCAACCUACUCAGUCUAGCCGUUUUAUCUUGGGAGAAAGAUGUCGACAAAGUUUACAACACCGUCAGUAAGCGAUAAAAUCUUUUUUAAGAAAAUUGCAUUGCAUGACUCGAUUCAUGAUUCUAUUUAUAUUUCAUAUUUUACUAUUCUGUUUUUGUAAUUAUAAAUUCAAUUUUAUUAUAUAAUUUUUGUGGUCAAUGAAAAUUGUUAUUUGGAAUUACGUGUUUGAAGUAUUUUUCCCAACAACUUUAAUUACUUAGUGGGCCAAACUCUACCAUCCUCCACUUCCCAUUCGUGGACAUCAUCCUUUCUUAACCCCAAAUCAUACACAGCAUCAGAUCUGGCCCGGAAAAUAGUGAUUGGCAUUGAAACCAUAAACCCUAGGUUUACAGUUCGAAACAGAACAAGCAAAUAGAAGAAGAAGAGCACAGCAGCAAAUCGGUCUACGAGUGGAGGGCCUGCGGUGGAUGCGUGGAGAGAGAGAAAAGGAGGACGUUGUGAUCUCAUCCCCUCGUAACCCACAGUUACAUACUUUUAUAGAGAGAGAGGCCGGAUCUAGAGACAUAAAUUUUAACACAAUUUUAAACACCGCAUCUUAGCCAUUGAAAUUGCUUGAAAAUACAGCAUUGCAAUUAUGUAUUGGUAAAUAAUUGGAAGCCUCUUUGUUUUGGUAUUUCCCAAUAGGUCUAGAAUAGUGAGGCGCCCAAACCAGAGGUUGAUAAUAUAUAUUUUUUCAAAUUCUUCCCGUUGGUAUAACAUUUUAUUUUGGAUGAUUUGGUGAUUCAUUGUGUUCUCUCUGAUUUUAGGGUGAAUCGAAAUUUUCCUGUCUUCAUGGGUGGUGGCAUUGUCCCCUUCCAUUGAAAUCCUGAUACACAUACACAAAUUUGACCGAGUCCUGCUCUUCAGGGAUUACAUGUUCUGCUCCGCCCUCGUCAUGCUCGAAUUCGGUUCAGCGAGCUGGAGGCGGCGACAUUGAAGUUGUGGCCGUCGAUUAGGGCUUUGGUGAUGUUGAGGACGAGAGGGGUCGGGGCUCAGAGGCAUGAGGGAUCGAAUCGAAGGGACGAGGAGGGAUUAACCAAACAAGAUGGUGAGAUUGUAAGGGAGGUUUUGAUGAGAGAGGAGGACGGGGUGCGUUGGAGGGGAGCAGCGACGGCGUGGGGUAAGAUAGCCAUUUGGGUCUGGACUUGAGAGAUAAAGAAAAGAGGUGUGGAAGGGAGUGAGAAGUAGAGAGAGAGGAUAGGUUUGUGCGAAGAGAGAGGGAAAGUGUGUGAAGAUUGGGGAGGGGAUGAUCUCAGCCUUUGAUUUCAAUGGGCUAAGAUGUUUUUUUUUUUUUUAAAAUUGUGUCCCCGGAUCCGACCCGAAUAUAUAUAUAUAUAUAUAUAUAUAUAUAUAAUAUAUAUACUAUUACACAAACUAGUGGCGAGCAUGCCACGGCUAUGCCGGCGCGAGUAAUUUAAGGGCAAAAUCGAAAAUAAAAAAUGGAGGUACGGUCAAAAUCGAAAACAAAAAAACUGGUGGUAAGAAAGUUACCAACGGAUAAAAUUGGAACAAAAUAGUUGCAAAUGAGUUUAUCUUCCACUCAAAUUUACAAGGGGCAAAAUAAAAAAAAAAAUUAUGAUAAAUGAGUUUAAAAACAAGAGUUUACUAAGGGGUAAAAUCGAAAAAAAAGGUCGUAGAUAAAAAACUAUUAUUUACUUCAUAUUUACUCAGGAACAAAAUUGGAAAAUACCCGUGUUAUGCCAAUGAGUGGAGUUUUCAAAAUCAGUAAUCUAUUAACGAAGAACCUACUUAAUGAGUUAAUGUGAGUCAUGGGCAAAAUGGACAAAAAAAAUUAAGUUAGGGGCAAACAAAAUCGAGAAAAAAAUGGUGAUCAAUAGUUAAUGUGAGUAGUGAAAAACUCGGAAUUGAAAAAAAAAAUAAAUACAAAUGGGUGGUAAAAUGAGUUAAUGUGAGUCGGGCAAAAUAAAAAAAAAUUUAAGUAGGGCAAAAUUGAAAAACAAAAUUAUGGUAAAUGAUUUACUAUUCAUAGGGGCAAAAUCGAAAAAAAAUAAAGUAUGUGCAAAAUCGAUCAAAAAAAAUUUGAGGGGCACAAAAUCAAAAAAAAAAUGGUAAAAACCAGAGCCAAAUUUUAAAAAUAACCAAAAUUUUUAGGGUCAAAAAAUAUAAUUUACAGGCAACUCUAGGGGACUAACGGUAAUUAUCCGUUAA
rnacentral:lncRNA from 1 species